GCGCGAAAACUUUACAAUGCUGGCAACAGCGAUAAGGGAACCUCGAGUGCCAGGUUGCAAAUCUGGCUGUCGAGAUGCCUAAAAAGCAUUUCAUAGCAAGGGCCGGGCAAGACCGGUGCCAGCCGCCGCGGUAACACCGGCGGCUCGAGUGGUAACCGUUAUCAUUGGGUCUAAAGGGUCUGUAGCCGGCCGGAUAAGUCUCUUGAGAAAUCUGGCAGCUUAACUGUCAGGCUUUCAGGAGAUACUGUCUGGCUCGAGGCCGGGAGAGGUGAGAGGUACUUCCGGGGUAGAGGUGAAAUCUUGUAAUCCUUGAAGGACCACCAGUGGCGAAGGCGUCUCACCAGAACGGACCUGACGGCAAGAGACGAAAGCUAGGGGCACGAACCG
rnacentral:rRNA from 1 species